rnacentral:rRNA from 1 species
CUACGAGUGGCAGCAGUGAGGAAUAUUGCACAAUGGGGGGAACCCUGAUGCAGCAACGCCGCGUGGAGGAUGACGCAUUUCGGUGUGUAAACUCCUUUUAUAUGUCAAGAAAAUGACGGUAGCAUAUGAAUAAGCACCGGCUAACUCCGUGCCAGCAGCCGCGGUAAUACUGAGGGUGCAAGCGUUACUCGGAAUCACUGGGCGUAAAGGACGCGUAGGCGGGUUGGAAAGUCAGGUGUGAAAUCCUACAGCUUAACUGUAGAACUGCACUUGAAACUUCUAAUCUAGAGUAUGGGAGGGGGAGAUGGAAUUAGUGGUGUAGGGGUAAAAUCCGUAGGUAUCACUAGGAAUACCUAAAGCGAAGGCGAUCUCCUGGAACAUUACUGACGCUAAGGCGUGAAAGCGUGGGGAGCAAACAGGAUUAGAUACCCUCGUAGUC